rnacentral:rRNA from 1 species
ACAACCAGGUGAGCCACCGUGCUCGCGCGCGGCGCGCGGCGCGCGUAUGCACCGUGCACCUACCGCAGGGCAGCUGUCAGCCUGGCACGUACGACUCCCAACCCGAAACAAGAUGUUCGUGCGGUCGUGCUCCCUUUCUUCUUGGUCGGCGGCGGGAGCAGCAGCAGUAGCCGCGCGCGCCCCGGCGAGCCCUCCUCCUCUCCCCUCCUCCCCGGCCACGCCGCCGCCCAAGCCCGGGUCCAGGUCCAUGGCCACCUCCGGCGCCGGCGCCGGAGCCGGCCGGGUCCGCCUCGCGGUCGUCGGCGAUGUGCAUGAUGAUUGGAUCCUUGAUGAAGAUACAAAGGCACUCCAUUUUCUUCAGCCAGAUCUGGUGCUUUUUACAGGUGAUUAUGGCAACGAGAAUGUCCAACUUGUCAAAAGCAUUUCGGAUCUUCAGUUUCCGAAGGCGGCAAUUCUUGGUAAUCAUGAUUGCUGGCGUACACAUCAAUUUUCAGAGAAGAAGGUAGAUCGUGUCCGGCUUCAGCUUGAAAGGUAUGGUGUCGAUGAUAUGUCAGGAAGUGUGAGGAAGAUAUACGAUGCUGCUACGGCUGCACCAGAGGAGCAUUCUGUCAUACUACUUGCACAUAAUGGACCAACAGGUCUAGGUUCAAGAAUCGAUGAUAUCUGCGGGCGGGAUUGGGUAGCUGGCGGUGGCGAUCAUGGCGAUCCAGAUCUGGAACAGGCGAUAUCCGACCUGCAAAGGGAAACCGGGGUUUCGAUCCCGCUGGUCGUGUUUGGGCACAUGCACAAGAGCUUAGCCUACGGGGGAGGCCUUAGGAAGAUGAUCGCCUUCGGAGCCAACAACCAGACCAUAUAUCUGAACGGAGCGGUCGUGCCUAGGGUGAAGCCUGCAGAAGCAAUGAGCCCCUCCACGAUCUCCACCAGCGAAAGAGACGAGCUCCAAGAAUCGGCAUCUGUGGGGCCCAUGUCACGGGCGUUCACCACUGUCGACCUCUUCGACGGCACCGUCGAGAAGAUCUCUGAGGUCUGGGUUCUUGUGAGCGGGGCCCAGGCUGAGCUCGAGGAGGAGACUGUCCUGUACAAGCGUCCUCGUGAGCAUAUGUGACGUCUAGGCUGGUAUGAAUAAUGCUGUGGCGAUGCUGCUGGAGCUGUUAAAAGAGUGUGAGUUGCUGUGUAUGAACGGGAGUGCAUGACACUGGGAUUGGGGAAGUCAGCAUUCCUGGUUGAAGAGGCCUUCAACGAGAGAUACUUGGGCAUUCCUACCGCAGUGGGUCGUAUUACUAGGGGCACGUUCGACCACAUCCGUGAGAGAGCUAGAGGAAUGAUCCAGGGAUGUUCUGAAAAACUGCUAGCGUGUGCUGGCCAGUAAAUUCUUCUGAAAUCGGUCAUUCAGGCAAUUCGAGUAUGUUCCUGUUAACAAAAAAUGUUUGUAAGAGUUUUAACUUAUCCCAUGGUGAAAUAUUUUUGGAUUAGCUCACUUGACAAGAAAUCAGUGCACUGGGUGUCCUGGAGCAACCUAGCAACUACCUGG